rnacentral:rRNA from 1 species
ACGUAGGGUGCAAGCGUUAAUCGGAAUUACUGGGCGUAAAGCGCGCGCAGGCGGUCCUUUAAGUCUGAUGUGAAAGCCCACGGCUCAACCGUGGAGGGUCAUUGGAAACUGGGGGACUUGAGUGCAGAAGAGGAGAGUGGAAUUCCACGUGUAGCGGUGAAAUGCGUAGAGAUGUGGAGGAACACCAGUGGCGAAGGCGACUCUCUGGUCUGUAACUGACGCUGAGGCGCGAAAGCGUGGGGAGCAAACAGGA